rnacentral:rRNA from 1 species
UACGUAGGGUGCGAGCGUUAAUCGGAAUUACUGGGCGUAAAGCGUGCGCAGGCGGUUCUGUAAGCCAGAUGUGAAAUCCCCGGGCUUAACCUGGGAAUGGCAUUUGGGACUGCAAGGCUCGAGUGCGGCAGAGGAGACUGGAAUUCCUGGUGUAGCAGUGAAAUGCGUAGAUAUCAGGAGGAACACCGAUGGCGAAGGCAGGUCUCUGGGCUGACACUGACGCUCAUGCACGAAAGCGUGGGGAGCAAACAGG